ACAGUUUAGCACAGAUGUUUCCCGUGGAAGUUUGAAUCUCUCUCAGUCAGGGGGGAGAUUGACUGACUGACUGUUUACUCGCCACCAAACAGUAAUUUACCCUGAAACCUUUUACAGUAAGGACUAACGUUAACUGACUGUCUGUCUGCUCUCAACCAAAAGUCAUUCAGGACCUUGUAAAGUAAGGACUAAUGUUAACUGACUGUCUGUCUGCUCUCAACCAAAAGUCAUUCAGGACCUUGUAAAGUUUAGCGCAAACGUUUCCUGCGCAAGUUUGAAUCUCUCAGUCAGGGGGGAGAUUAACUGACUGACUGACUGACUGUCUACUCGCCACCAGUCAGUUACACAGAAACCUUUUAAAGUUUAGCACAAACGUUUCCCGCGCAAGUUUGGAUCUUUACCAUUGAGGGUGGCUGACUGUUCUCUACCAACCAUCAUGCACACGCAAAAACUUUAAAGAUAAGUAUGAACGUGCCCAGAGCAGUUUUCGAUCUUUACCAUUAAGGUGGCUGACUGACUAUCCUCUACCACCCAUCAUUAACACAACAAAAACUAAAGAAAUGUUACUCCAUAUGGACCUAUUCAUUUACUCAUUAUGCUGUGAGUACACCACAGUUUUAUCAGGGAAAAAAUGUAUAUUUGUGUGUUUCUCACUGCUUGGCAAGGACAGAUGUGGCCCUGUUAAAAAUGUUUAAAUGUCGUUUGGUUUAAGGAACAGCACACUGAUUUUGUUUUAAAUAUUCCUGUUUGGACAGUCUGUUAAAGUCAUAAAGCAGGGGUGGGGAACCCUGGUCCUGGAUGGCCACUGUC